UACCAGCACCCCGAGUGGUCGGGACGAUUAUUGGGCCUAAAGCAUCCGUAGCCGGUCAUGCAAGUCCUCCGUUAAAUCCACCUGCUUAACAGAUGGGCUGCGGAGGAUACUACAAGGCUAGGAGGCGGAAGAGGCAAGCGGUACUCAGUGGGUAGGGGUAAAAUCCUCUGAUCCAUUGAAGACCACCAGUGGCGAAGGCGGCUUGCCAAUACGCGCUCGACGGUGAGGGAUGAAAGCUGGGGGAGCAAACCGGGAUUAAGAA
rnacentral:rRNA from 1 species